AUGAGAAGGCUUUUGUGUGUGGCCCUGCAUUUUGCUGUCUUCAGGUGUGGGGGCCCAGACAGGGGUGAUGCAAAGCUCAGCCCUGGGCGCUGGGUUGCUGGGAGGCACGGGCAGGGAGGGGCCCAUUGGGUGGGGAGGGGCACACUCCCAUUCCCCCGAGGCUGUGCCAUUUGCUUGGCUCCUAACCCAAGGCACUCUUCGCUAACUCCUCCAGGCUCAGCAGGGGGACUGUUCUCACAAGCUACGAACCAAACCGGAAUCUACUUCCCUUCACUGAGACAUCUGGGGAGUGUUGCUUCUGAAACUAUUUUUGGUGUGAACAUGUCGCUCAAGCUGCCGCAGCUAUGUGGGAAUUUUGAAGUGUCAAAGGCGUAUGACUGCAGCUGGGCGGAGGCGAGUGGGCAGGGUUAUUACAAAGCCCAGCCAGCUCCUUUUCAGCUCCCUGCUCACCUCGGCUCUGAACGCCUUAGAAGGGCUGCACCCAGGUUAGGAUGCAAACGGUGGCACAGGUGUGGCUGGGAGGAGCUGGUGGUCUGGCAGAGGGGGCCUUACGGGCCUGGGGACCCUUGGCAUCCUGGGAGAUCCUUGGAGGUGAUUCGUGGAGGGUUCCUUGGAGAAUGCCGGGGCUGUGUUUGCAGAUGGUUUCUCCAGGCCAGACCGAGAGUAACUUCCGGCUUCCGGUCGUGCUCCUAAGGAGCUUAGAAGUCGCCAAAUGAACAAGCCGAGAGCUCUCCUGAGAUCACUAAGAGAAGGGCGGGCACAGGGCAACGGCUGCCCUGCUGGAGAGACAGACAGGUGGGUCCUGAGCAUCCAAACUUCCUGGGGCCGGAACCGUGGGCAGGAGCCUCUGGGGGACCCCGGGCAGGGGGAGAGGAGCCCGAGAUGGAACGGAAGAAUUACUUGAGCUCCAGGUGGACAGGUGUGAGAGACGAGCACUCCCGGGGCCCCCACCCUUGCCUGAGUUUUACCUCCAGGAGCUGGACCAAGUUCUCACAGUGAAGAUCAGAGAAAAACCCCUCAGUGGCUUCCAGCAUGGGGGGGGGGGGAGGAGCCGUUUUGAAAUAUGCUGGAGCGUUCUCUUCACAAAGCCUGACCUCCGGAGAAACCAUUUUACCAGAGCCGGAUCUGCUGCUGUUUUACCAAACCCCUGGGGGAGGGAGAUUACCCCUGUGGUCAUCUGCCCCGUCCUGGGUGCAGGCUCCCUAAAACCUGGGUCUAAUCGCAGACUUCCCCGGGCUUCUCCUCCCAGCCCUCGCCACAGCGCACUGCCCACGGCAGGUCCUUCUACCUGGCACGUAAGGACCACCUUUCGACAGAGGCUACAAGGCGCACCAAAAAGCAAAACCCAGGGCUGGGCGUUUGGCAAGGCUGUUAGACACUGCUUGGAAUGCCUGCGGCCUAUACUGGAGGGCCUGGUUGGAGUCCAGCUUCACCUGUGAUCCAGCUUCUCGAUAAUGAAUGUGCUGGGAGGCAGCAGAUGUUGGUUCAAGUACUUGGUCCCUGCCACCCACACCAGGAGGCAUGCAUGAAGCUGAGUUCCUGGCUCCUGGCUCCUGGCUUUGGCCUGACUGUUAGGGGCAUUUGUGGAGUGAACCAGCAGGUGGGCUCUCCCCCUCUCUCUGCUUUUCAACUAAAAUUUAAAGAAUUAAAAGGUGAAAACUGCAGUUUGAGGAGUAGGCAUGAGCACCAGACU
ensembl:lncRNA